AUUGAACGCUGGCGGCAGGCCUAACACAUGCAAGUCGAACGAGUGGCGGACGGGUGAGUAAUGUCUGGGAAACUGCCUGAUGGAGGGGGAUAACUACUGGAAACGGUAGCUAAUACCGCAUACCAUCGGAUGUGCCCAGAUGGGAUUAGCUAGUCGGUGGGGUAAAGGGUCACCUAGGCGACGAUCCCGAGCUGGUCGGAGAGGAUGACAAGCCACACUGGAACUGAGACACGGUCCAGACGCCGACGGGAGGCAGCAGUGGGGAAUAUUGCACAAUGGGCGAAAGCCGGAUGCAGCGAUGCCGCGUGUAUGAAGAAGGCCUUCGGGUUGGAAAGUACUUUCAGCGGGGAGGCGUUACCCGCAGAAGAAGCACCGGCUAACUCCGUGCCAGCCGCCGCGGUAAUAC
rnacentral:rRNA from 1 species